CGUUCACCCAGCUGUCGGGCUCCAAACCUAGUGGUCCUGCUUCAGUGCAUCCUCCUCGAGUUCCAAAGAGGAUGAAAUCCAAACCGUGUUGCAUGAUACUUAGGACCAUGGUCUGUCUGACCCCUUGCCCUCCAUUUUUCCUUGGACUGGACGCUUUCACCAGCAUUGCACACUUCAUUCCAACCACACAAAAGCACUGAGCUUUCUGAACUAGCCAUAGGGCAUCAGGCAUCAACAUCAGUAUUUCUCAACCUCCAUGCCAUAUGUGUCUUGGGCCAGAUAGCUUUUUGUAGUCGGGGCCUGGUCUGUGCAAUGAAGGCUCUUUAGCACCAUACUUGGCCUCUACCCACUAGAUGCCAAUAGCAUCUAGAUUUUAUCAAAUGUCCCCUACAAAUAGCAUCCAGUUGUUCUCAACUGGCAUAUGCAUUUAUAAAUGCUGUUCGUUUUGCCUGUG